UGGGGAAUAUUGGGCAAUGGGCGCAAGCCUGACCCAGCAACGCCGCGUGAAGGAAGAAGGCUUUCGGGUUGUAAACUUCUUUUCUCAGGGACGAAGCAAGUGACGGUACCUGAGGAAUAAGCCACGGCUAACUACGUGCCAGCAGCCGCGGUAAUACGUAGGUGGCAAGCGUUAUCCGGAUUUACUGGGUGUAAAGGGCGUGUAGGCGGGACUGCAAGUCAGAUGUGAAAACCAUGGGCUCAACCUGUGGCCUGCAUUUGAAACUGUAGUUCUUGAGUACUGGAGAGGCAGACGGAAUUCCUAGUGUAGCGGUGAAAUGCGUAGAUAUUAGGGGGAACACCAGUGGCGAAGGCGGUCUGCUGGACAGCAACUGACGCUGAGGCGCGAAAGCGUGGGGAGCAAACAGGAUUAGAUACCC
rnacentral:rRNA from 1 species